UAAGAAUAAAAAAUAUGUAAACUCACAAAUGAGAAGGAUAGGAUUUCUCAUAUGGGAAUAACUAGAUAUGCACUAUAUGCUAACUUUACAUUAUAUUUAUAGUUCAAAACCAUUGAGAUAUAAUCUGUUAGCGCGCCAUGUUAAAAUUGAUACAGGAUAAGAGUGCCAUAUUUAUUGAGGGAAAAGGGAAGCGGAUGAGACGACCUUUUCUGCCUAUCAGUCCAUGUCAUAACCGAGAUUCAUACUUUCAAGAUAUCUCUCUGCAACUUCAAGUAAAGCAUCGUGGGGCCAUUCAGUGAAUAAAUCAAUUGUUGUACAAUUCACAAAUGCUGGGUAUUGUCGAAUACGAUUUCUAAAAGGAAGAGAUUG